rnacentral:lncRNA from 1 species
CUUCUGAGUCAGCACCUUUUUGCUGGGGGCUGUUCAUUAACAUUUCUUUGAGGUGGACUUUGGCCUAGGGCCUUUUCGGGACUUCCAUGAGUUGUCCUGUGUUUUCCCUGAGUCAUUCUCCGCAUGGUCUCCAUUUUAGAUUUCACUCAAUAUUAGACCCGGAUUUAUCUAACUACACUGACUACCUAACUUUAAAUCUGGCUUCAUUCCCCCCUCUAAGUUGGGAACUCCUUACUGCUGUAAGGAAGGGGGGUGAAGAAGAUCUUUCUGGCUUCUUCAGGCUGAAAAGGGACAGUGUGGGGCAAGCAGUUUGGAGUCCCCCUUUAAAAAUCGGGUCUAUCGAGUGGUCCAUGAUAGAAGUCUGAUUGAGAAGUAAUAGGCUGGAGGGCCAUUUGAGUGAUGGACGGUCUAUAAGAGAAACAAGAAUUCAUUAGUACUGGAACCAUAUUGAUGCAGCAAUAAACGCCAUAGCACAGGAAUAUGCCAAUGAGUAUGAUGGCAAAGACAAAGACUAACAAUGUUUUCCACCAGGAAGUACCAAGAACUAGGAGAUAAGAUAUUGUUUCCAUGACAAAGUUGCUGAGGACAUGGCUUCUAUCUGAGCAUGUAAAUCUUUAAGGAUAUUUGUCACAUUGCCAGAAAUGUCAGGGAUGUAAACACAACAUUUAACGUUUAGGGUUACAGAUGUCCUUUCCCUUAAGAUAUAGUUUAAUAAUUUAAUGUCAUCUGAUCUUGCAAAAUCCUUUUACUAGUAUGACCUCUGUGUCUAAUAGAGAAAUCUUUAAUUCUGUUACUUAGGGCUGGAUAACCAUACUUGCAAACACUAAGCCUACCUGUGUAGGUUAGAAAUAAAGGCCUUAAACUAAAAACUACUCUGGCA